rnacentral:rRNA from 1 species
GACGAACGCUGGCGGCGUGCCUAAUACAUGCAAGUCGAACGCUUUUUCUUUCACCGGAGCUUGCUCCACCGAAAGAAAAAGAGUGGCGAACGGGUGAGUAACACGUGGGUAACCUGCCCAUCAGAAGGGGAUAACACUUGGAAACAGGUGCUAAUACCGUAUAACACUAUUUUCCGCAUGGAAGAAAGUUGAAAGGCGCUUUUGCGUCAUUGAUGGAUGGACCCGCGGUGCAUUAGCUAGUUGGUGAGGUAACGGCUCACCAAGGCAACGAUGCAUAGCCGACCUGAGAGGGUGAUCGGCCACACUGGGACUGAGACACGGCCCAGACUCCUACGGGAGGCAGCAGUAGGGAAUCUUCGGCAAUGGACGAAAGUCUGACCGAGCAACGCCGCGUGAGUGAAGAAGGUUUUCGGAUCGUAAAACUCUGUUGUUAGAGAAGAACAAGGAUGAGAGUAAAAUGUUCAUCCCUUGACGGUAUCUAACCAGAAAGCCACGGCUAACUACGUGCCAGCAGCCGCCGUAA